rnacentral:lncRNA from 1 species
AGGAGCUCGCACUCCAACCAAUUAAGAAAAGAUUUGGCUACAAUGACACAUUGGCUGGAAGACACACCCACAAACCCAUGGACCACCGGACUGAAUUAACUCAUGCGAUUAUGGAGGCUGAGAAAUCCCACACUCUGCUUCUGCAAACUGGAGACCCUGGAAGGCUGGCGGUGUAACUCUGAGAACUGGGAAUCUGAUGGUGCAAGUCCCAGGAGAGGGCAGAAGACUGAUGUCUCCACUCAACCAAUCAGGCAGACAGAGCAAACUCUCCCUCCUCUGCUUCUGUUGUUCUAUUCAGGCCCUCAAUGGAUUGGAUGACAGGACUGGAUGAGGACCCCCACACUGGGGAGGGCCAUCUGCUUUACUCAGCCACUGAUUCAAAUGCCGGUCUCAUUCAGAAUCACUCUCACAGACACAACCAGAAAUAAUGUUUUACGUAGGCACUCCAUGCCCCAAUCAAGUCAACACAUAAAAAUAACCAUCACGAGUCUACCCCUUGUCAACUUGACACUCAUCCUCAUCUCCUGAAACCAUACUUAAUCUCCAAAUAAUGACAAUAACAAGAUAAUAAUUCUGCCUAAUAUGAUACAUCUAUCCUGUGUGCCACCGAAAAUGCACAAACUCUUUCCCAGAAAAGGAUAGGAAUGAGUGAUGUUUAGUCUUCUCUUUGAUAUUCUUCUGAAACUUAAAGACUGUGAUGUUGCGGAGACAAAAGUGAGUCCAUCUUGAAUGCUGAUCUGCCAUACUGACUUCUUACUAACCCCAGUCUCAUGAAUGCCUCUGAUUCCUACUUUAUUUACUGUCCUUGGUGUAAGAACAUGUACACACUAUAAAUCCUGCCUUUAGGUCAAGGCAACCUUGAUAUUACCACACAAAUCACAGGCUAUGACGCACACAGCAUUCUUGCCUGUUCUGGAGGGCUGCUGUGUUAGGCCGUCCCUGCAUUACUAUAAAAAAUACCUGAGGCUAGGUAAUUCGUAAAGAAAAGAGGUUUGGGCUGGGCGCGGUGGCUCACGCCUGUAAUCCCAGCACUUUGGGAGGCCAAGGCGGGUGGAUCCCCUGAGGUGAGGAGUUUGAGACCAGCCUGGCCAACAUGGUGAAACC